UAUUGUAAUGGUGAGAGGUUAGCAUGUCUUGGGGGUAUGAUAUAACAUGCUAACCUCCCCUGUUAUUGUAAUGGUGAGAGGUUAGCAUGUCUUGGGGGUAUGAUAUAACAUGCUAACCUCCCCUGUUAUUGUAAUGGUGAGAGGUUAGCAUGUCUUGGGGGUAUGAUAUAACAUGCUAACCUCCCCUGUUAUUGUAAUGGUGAGAGGUUAGCAUGUCUUGGGGGUAUGAUAUAACAUGCUAACCUCCCCUGUUAUUGGUAAUGGUGAGAGGUUAGCAUGUCUUGGGGGUAUGAUAUAACAUGCUAACCUCCCCUGUUAUUGGUAAUGGUGAGAGGUUAGCAUGUCUUGGGG